rnacentral:rRNA from 1 species
GUUAGGAAUAUUGGACAAUGGGCGCAAGCCUGAUCCAGCCAUGCCGCGUGAGUGAUGAAGGCCUUCAGGUUGUAAAGCUCUUUAGCCGAUGAUUAUAAUGACUGUAGUCGGAAAAUAAGCCCCGGCUAACUUCGUGCCAGCAGCCGCGGUAAUACGAAGGGGGCGAGCGUUAUUCGGAAUCACUGGGCGUAAAGCGUGCGUAGGCGGCUUUGCAAGUUGGGAGUGAAAGCCCAGGGCUCAACCCUGGAAUUGCUCUCAAAACUGCAAGGCUCGAAUUCGGGAGAGGAUAGCGGAAUUGUCAGUGUAGCAGUGAAAUGCGUAGAUAUUGACAGGAACACCAGUGGCGUAAGCGGCUAUCUGGACCGAUAUUGACGCUGAGGUACGAAAGCGUGGGGAUCAAACAGGAUUAGAAACCCGAGUAGUCC